UUGCUCACAAUCCCAGUAGGCAAAUAAUUGUUUUAGUUUAAAAUGUUUUUGUUCUCACGGUGAAUGGGAGAGUCCCAAAAUGAUCAGGAAUUUUUCUUUAGUAUAAUUCAGAAACAGAAACUCCCAGAUCUGAAAGACCUUUAAAAUAGAAAUCAGAAGGUUCCAGUCUAGAAUAGCACUUUACACAUGAGCUUGAGCAAUUUUUAAAUUGUUAAAAAGUUAGAAAAAUGAAGAAAGCUGGAGGAAAUGAGUCCCUUAAGAGUAAUGUUCAUGUUUUAUUACCUCUGUAAUCAUAUUGCCAAGCAAAAUAGGUAGACAUCUGUUGGACAUUUAAAAUUCGGGGUGUGAUUCACAUUCUUUUCCUCUUACUCUGAUACUAGGCCACCUCUUUCCUGUGGAGGAGUCAUUGCAUGUGGAUCAGGUUUUCUUACAGACCCUGAGAAAUUGGAGGAUGUGCAAAAAGAAAAACAGAGUUCUAAAAAGAUGAGACAUCUCAGAGCAAGGAUGGGUCCAUGGCUCAGAAAAGAAAAUGCAUUUUGAGGACAAAGGACAGGAUGCACUUUGAUUUGGUUGCUGUGCCUCUGGGAGUUUGCCUCAGGAAUGUGAUCCCUUCUCCGGUUUUAACACUAUUGAAAAUUAACUACUUUCUUAUUGGACUUCAAUAUCUUGGAAGGUAUUAUCUCUUGGCUGUGAUGUCCCUUAUAUCUUCCAAAGACUCCUUUCCCUUGAUUACUGUAUCCCAAGACUCACGUUCCCAGGUGUCCAGGUGUAUGACCAUCUUCCUUACUUCUGCUGACCAUCAUCUGUAAAAGACACAGAUGGCUGCAUGGUGAAAGAUAACCAACCAAUGUCCAAGCUCAGAAAAAAGAAGGUGGUGAAUUCAUUUGUUUGUUUUCCUUUUGGGUUGUAAGAAUAAAUCAUUACUCAUUCAA